CAUGUGAAUCGUAAGACCUCUGAAGACAUUGUUUAUGUUUACGGGGGAAAGCUGGUGUGGAGAGCACAAAGUCCUAUCGGUGUGAAUGCCCAGCGUCGAUAAGGCUGUUAUGGACAGAGGAAAAUGGGUGGUAUAUCGCCGAGCAUCGGGAGAGUCAUAACCAUUCUUUUUCACCAAAUUUCGGUGAGACAGUUCACUGGCCGUCCCACAAGCACAUUGAUGUGUACAGCAGGGACGUGAUAAAAUAGUUGCGGCAGAAUAAUGCAUACCUUGUGAAGGUGUAUAUAGGAUAGUAGGCAGUUUUUUUGGAUCGAGGGAAAAUGUGCCAUUCACGAAGAGGUCUUUGUGUAAUCUGUGCGGCACGAUUAGCAGGGAACAUUCAGAUGACGAUGUAAGGAAAUUGGAGCGAAGGACAUCAUUUCACAUACAGAGUUCAGCCUGACAAAGACGGCAGGUUGCAUUACACGUUUUUCAGUGAUGUGUUAGACAUUUGACACAGCCUUUCGGCCUAUUUGUUGGUGUGAAUAAUCCUUUCCAGAGUGUUAUCCUGGAUGGAGUGCUUGUGUGUGACGAAACCAUCGAGGGUUUCGAAUGGGUUUUCUCUGAAUUUCUGAGAAUGAUGGGUGGCGCUGCACCGAUAACAAUACUUACCGCUACAACACUUUGCCUCCUUGCCCAAUAACCCAAGAUCCUCACCAAGAUUCGUAGGGGAAUUUUUCUUGCCUGGGUCUCUGUAGAAUGCAAGCAGCGUGGCAUGUAUGCUGAGAAAGGUGUUUGUUUGUCGAGUGG